CGGAGCUAACUACACCCCAAAGGCUAUUUUAGGAGCCACAGCAUUGAGCAUCUUUGGCUUUGAGCCAACUACACCCCAGAGACUCUUUUAAGGGCCACCUAGAAUCACGGCACCUUUGACUUUAUCAUCUGUCAGUGGUUAUGGAGGCCAUGCAUCCAAGACCAA